rnacentral:misc_RNA from 1 species
GAUGAAGAACGUAGCGAAAUGCGAUAAGUAAUGUGAAUUGCAGAAUUCAGUGAAUCAUCGAAUCUUUGAACGCACAUUGCGCCCCUUGGUAUCCCGAGGGGCAUGCCUGUUCGAGCGUCAUUUAGGCCAUCAAGCUAGGCUUGGUAUUGGGUGCGGUCUGAGCGACCCGCCCGUAACCCCAUUAGCGGCAACCGUUCGGUCCCAGGCGUAGCAGAAAUAUUCGUCUCGAGGCUCUGGCGGUGGCUGUCUUUAAAAUCGGUGGCUCUGAACGUACGAGUCCCAUAGUUUGACCUCGGAUCAGGUAGGGAUACCCGCUGAACUUAAGCAUAUCAAUAAGCGGAGGA